GAAAACACUCAGGGACUAGAAGCACCAGGUAGCUCAGAAAGAGGAGUGUGGGAGGCUGCUGACCCAGAUGAAUGGAAUGAAACAUUGUAGGGAACAGUUAUAUCCUCAGAUGCCUUCUCUCAUCCCACAAAGCUGAGCAGCUGUCCGUCCUUGACUCUGGGAGAAAGGCGUUAUCAUCAAGAUUUCCAUAAGUGGACAGAAGACACACUGACCAUGAAAGGAAGGCCAGCACUGGGUGAUCAUUUUCAUUCUAAAUGAUGAUUAAUACAGCAAUGGACUUCUAACACAAAAUUUAGAUUUGAUCUGAGCUCUUUCAUCACGACAAUGUGUUAGCAACUAGGCCUCGGGACACAGUCAUGGUUCUUUUUCUAGUAUCUGAAAAUGUGCCAAACUAAAUGUCAGUGCCUUCAUAAGGAAGAUUUAGAGUUCCUUUUGGAGCAGAUAGAAGCCUCAAAUGACAAACACGCUUAUCCUGAAUGCCCCUCCUGCUGGUGUGACUUACCUCAGAACAAGGUCAAAGAAGCCGCCAGAGAAGAUCUACGAUUUGUUUGACUUGACAUUCCCUGGUAUUUCCCUUUGUUAUCCCUGUGUCAUCGUUCUGUGGCAGAGGGAGAGCAAGGCAAGCGCUUGCUUUCAGGUAUAUCUGGCUAGUAGCCCUACAUACCACAGAGAGCUACUGUGGAUUUCACUGUAUGAAAAGCCUCCAUUUGACUUGAAUGCUGUUAAAGCAUUGCAGGGUAUAAAACGCAGCAAGAAGGGGGCCAUCAGCAGGCCAGGAAGAGAGCCCUCACAAAAAACGGAAUCAGCCAGCACCUUGAUCUCGGACUUCCCAGCCUCCAGCAUCAUGAAAAAAUAAAGAUUUGUUGUUUAAGUCACCCAGUCUAUCAUAUUUUGUUAUGGCAGCCCAAGCAAACCUAUGCAGCCGGGUCAAGUAUUUUAUAUAUAUAUUAUAGGAGAAUACAUGCUUUGAGUCAUAUAGAACAGGAUAUUAACACCAACUCUAAAUUGCUAUUUGUAGAUUUGGGGAAACACUCCAAACUUCAGUUUUCUAAAUUAAAUAAGUACAGUAUUUUCUUCAUUAUUGGGCUUUUUUUUUUUUUUUUUUUUUUUGAGAUGGAUUUUUGCUCUUGUUGCCCAGGCUGGAGUGCAAUGGCACAAUCUCGGCUCACUGCAACCUCUGCCUCCCGGGUUCAAGCGACUCUCCUGCCUCAGCCUCCCAACUAGCUGGGAUUAUGGGCAUGAACCACCAUGCCUUGCUAAUUUUGUAUUUUUAGUAGAGAUGUGGUUUCUCCAUGUUAGUCAGGCUGGUCUUGAACUCCCAAUCUCAGGUCAUCUGCCCGUCUCAGCCUCCUAAAGUGCUGGGAUUACAGGGUGAGCCACCCUGCCCAGCAUUAUUAUUGGGCUUUUUAAAAGCAUCACAUUUCUUCUUGUAUAUUUUCUUUUUUUAAUGAAGUACAGUCUUUACAAUAGCCUUUAGUGAAGAUUUGCUCCUAAAAACUUAGCUUUUGUUUAUCUGAUGAUGGCUUUAUUUCAAGUAGUUUCACCUAGUAUAUAAUUAUUUGAUAGUCAUUUUCUCUUGACUCUUUGAAGACAUUUUUCAUCAUCUUCUGGCUUCCAUUGUAGCUGCUUUCAUUCCUUUGUAGUUAUUUCAUAUUUGCUUUGUUUUUGGUGAGCUGAAAUUUCACUAAGGUGUGUUCAGGUGUGUGUUUUUUUUGUUGCUACCUACUUAUAUUUCACUGAGGUCUUCUGAUGUAAUCUAGUCUGCCACCAAUAUUGGGAAGCCUUUAGCCAUUUUUUUUCCUAUACUGACUUUUCUCCAUUCUCUAUAUUCUCUUGUGAAAUUCUAAGCAAUAAGCCAGACCUUCUAACUUUACUGUAAUGUCCCUUAACCUCUAUUUCAUGUUUUCCAAAUAUUUACCCAUGUUAUAUUGAGUCAUUUCUUCUGCUGUAUUUUCCAGUUGUAAAUUCUCUCCUCAGCUGUAUCUGAUACUCUACCAUUGAGUUUUUAAUCUCAAUAAUUAUAUUUUUUACUACUGUAAGUUCUGUUUUUAAAAUUUUUUAGCAAUUCUGCAUGAUCAGUCUCCACAGUCUUAUGCCUUCCUCACACAUUUGAUGCCUUUCUUUUUUUCUUUUAAAAUUUAAAAAUUUUAGUAGAGACUUAAAAAUUUUUAAAUUUUAAAAGAAAAAAAGUAGAGAUUUAAAAAUUUAGUACAGAUUUUAAAAUUUUUAAAUUUUAAAAGAAAAAACAGUAUUCUUACUUUUUAUAUUCUAAAUGCAGUAAUUUCCAUAUCUGAGAUCUUAAUGCAUCUGAUUCUUUUCUUUGUAUUCUUUGUUGUUUAUCCUCUUUCUUGGUCUCAAUAUGUUAUUUUCCAUUGUGUUUUGUUAUUUUUGUUGUUGUUGUGAGUUUAGGCUUGAUGAAACUUUUUCUGUGAGGCUAUUCUGAGUCUUAGAUUGAGAGUGUAUUCCUCCAAAAAUAUGUGUAUUUUCUUAUGGCAUUCAUCAACUAGCACUACCAGUCAGGGGGUGAUAUGAAUUUGGAGCACAAUCCCACAUUAGGCCCCGUUUAUACUGAUACAUUUCCAGUGGGUGUAUUUUUUUGUUUUUAAAAAUGAGGUAAAAUUUACAUAACAUAAAACUAGCCAUUUUAAACUGUACAUUCAGUAGCAUUUAUUACCUUCACAAUGUUGUGGAACCAUCACCUCUAUCUAGUUUAAAAAUAUUUUCAUCACCCCAAAAGGAAAUCCCAAACCCACUGAUAUGGUUUGGCUGUGUCCCCACCCAAAUCUCAUCUUGAAUUGUCAUUCCCAUAAUCCCCAUGUGUCAUGGAAGCCACCUGGUGGAAGGUAAAUUAAUCAGGGGAGAAGUUACCCUCAUGCUGUUCUUGUCAUAGUGAGUGAGUUCUGAGAAGAUCUGAUGGUUUUAUAAGGGGCUUUCCCCACUUUUGCUUGGUACUUCUCCUUGCUGCUACCAUGUGAAGAAGGACAUGUUUGCUUCCCCUUCUGCCAUGAUUGUAAGUUUCCUGAGGCCUAGCCAACUGUAAAGAACUGAGCCAAUUAAACAUCUUUCCUUUAUAAAUAACCCAGUCUUGGGUAUGUCUUUAUUAGCAGCUUGAGAAUGGACUAAUACACACACUAAACAGUUACUUCCCAUUACCCAACUACCUAUACCCUGGCAAACACAGAUGUGCUCUUUCUCUCUUUAUAGACAUACCUGUUCUAUAUAUGUUAUACAAAUGGAAUCACAUAAAAUGUGAUGUCUGAUUUCUAGCUUCUCUUAUUUAAUAUACUUCCCAGGUUCAUCCAUGUUGUAGCAUUAUCAGUAUUUUAUUCCCUUGCAUGGCUAAAUUCCACUGUACACACAUAUUACAUUUUGCUUGGCCAUUCCAUUGAUU
rnacentral:lncRNA from 10 species